rnacentral:rRNA from 1 species
UACGUAGGGGGCGAGCGUUGUCCGGAAUGACUGGGCGUAAAGGGCGUGCAGGCGGCUAUAUAAGUCUGGAGUGAAAGUCCUGCUUUCAAGGUGGGAAUUGCUUUGGAGACUGUAGAGCUUGAGUGCGGAAGAGGUAAGUGGAAUUCCCAGUGUAGCGGUGAAAUGCGUAGAGAUUGGGAGGAACACCAGUGGCGAAGGCGACUUACUGGGCCGUAACUGACGCUGAGGCGCGAAAGCGUGGGGUGCGAAC